rnacentral:pre_miRNA from 1 species
AUAAUACUCCCUCCGUUCGAAAAUACUUGUCAUAGGAAUGGAUGUAUCUAGAUGUAUUUUAGUUCUUGAUACAUCCAUUUUUAUACAUUUGUGCGACAAGUAAUUCCGGAUGGAGGGAGUAGUAC